rnacentral:rRNA from 1 species
AUUGAACGCUGGCGGCAUGCUUUACACAUGCAAGUCGAACGGCAGCACGGACUUCGGUCUGGUGGCGAGUGGCGAACGGGUGAGUAAUACAUCGGAACGUACCCAGUAAUGGGGGAUAACUAUCCGAAAGGAUAGCUAAUACCGCAUACGCCCUACGGGGGAAAGAGGGGGAUCGCAAGACCUCUUGUUAUUGGAGCGGCCAAUGGCUGAUUAGCUAGUUGGUAGGGUAAAGGCCUACCAAGGCAACGAUCAGUAGCGGGUCUUAGAGGACGAUCCGCCACACUGGAACUAAGACACGGUCCAGACUCCUACGGGAGGCAGCAGUGGGGAAUCUUGGACAAUGGGCGCAAGCCUGAUCCAGCAAUGCCGCGUGCGUGAAGAAGGCCUUCGGGUUGUAAGCGCUUUUGUCAGGGAGCAAAUCCUUGUGGCUAAUACCCACCGGGGAUGAGAGUACCUGAAGAAUAAGGACCGGCUAACUACGUGCCAGCCGCCGCGGUAAAAC